CUUUGAAGUGACUGGGAUGGAGGUGCUCAAUUAAAAGCCCAUCAGUCUCAUUGCUGGAGGAGUCAGCUAAGGUCGUAUUUGCCAAAGCAUCGGAAAGCAACAAAUCCCUGUGCAAGCAGCAGCUGUGGAUCACCUGCUCCAGAGGCCUCUGCACUGCCAUUGGGUAGAGCCAAGGGUGAACAUCAGAAGUCGGAUGGCAGAGCUAGAAAAGAUGGACUGAAGACCAGAACCUGAGUCUACCCCUAAAUCACCACCAGGCCAUGGGCAAGUCACAAUCCUUGCUGGGCCUCAUCUGCACAACCAGAAAGUUGUGGCUGGGAUUCUCAGAGCUUUGCUGUGAAUAGCCUGUGGUGGCCGAUAGAUCUUUCUGCUUCUCUUGGGUCUGGCUGCAAGAUGAAAGAGCGGGAGGGAAGAGAGGGAAGCUGAAAAGCAAGGUCAAUCAAUUCUGAGCCAAGACAGAGCCUAAGAGAUAGGGCGUGGCAUGCUGAAAGAUGAUGGCUGGCAAAAAUCAUUAGAAGCAUCUUUCAACAAUCUAUAUGCCGUUAUUGAUUUUGUUAUGGAUCUUCUCCUUCCAUCCCUUUCCCCCCACCCCAAGAUCUUCUGGAUCAAUACAGCAAGUGCAUUGAGACUGUAGCAACACAUUUAAAACCUUAUAAAAGGUUAUUUAGUUGCUAACAGUGCAGUGGUUUCUGCAGAGCCUGCCAAAAGGUUACAGCUUUUUGGGGAUCAUAAAUUACAGGCGACAGGAAAAAAGUAAGUGCGGUUUUCUUUAUUGUCUCAAUGAUGGAUGGACUCCUGAACAGGGCAGAAAAUACAUCAUAUCACCUUUAAUGGGCGUGCAUUUCUGCAGCCAUAACUCACCAUUUUAAAAUAGAAAAUGGUGAAAUAUGGCAUUGUAUAUUCCACUUGUGACAUAUUUAUGAGUCCUUGCCUUCUUAUAAAUACAGUGAUUGCUAUUUCAAAGCUCCGUGUCAGGUAUGAGCUGA
rnacentral:lncRNA from 1 species